ensembl:lncRNA
CGGGGCCCUACCAGCACCUUUUCAGCCUCAGCCAGAAACCCUGCUGAACACUCUAAGCGGCCGGCGCCUUUUCCCACGAAGGUCUUCUUAAACAACACUUAGACAAAAGCUGGAAACUAGUUCAGCACAAGGCUGAAAGGUGUCAGUAGCUCAGGAGUGUCCAACUCUUUGUGACCCGAGGCUCCUCUGUCCAUGGGAUUUCCCAGGCUGAACUCAUGGCCAGAUGGAUGCCCUCGAACCUGAGCUCCCGCAUCGCACGCCCCGUCCUCUGUUUCACGCCGCCAUCUGUGUGUCUGGCGGGGCUCUUAGGCUCGGCUGGUCAUAGCUUAGCUCCCGCCCCUCCUCCUGUAAGCCGCUCCUCCUCCAGCGUUCCCCUUUCAGGGUGGAAUAGACGGCAGCACCCGCCACCUUCUCAGUCACUGCACAAGCCGGGAACUUCAGCACCAUCCCUGAGGCCUCCCUCUCUCUUCCGCUUGGAGUCACUCAGCCAGCCUGUGAGUGAGUCUGGAAGCGGAUUCUGGUCCCCGGUCGAGCCUGCCGAUGAAGUGGCGCCGGCCAACGUCUUGUCUGCAGCUGCACCCGAGCCUCAGCCAGGCCCACCAGGCGGGGCCUUAGGAAUGGAGACAGUCGCUGUUCAUUGUUCCAAGGCACGGCGUUUUGUGGUGAUUCGUUACCUAGCAACGGGCAGCUGAUACCAUCCCUUCUGGUGUCGCUCCCUUUCAU